GCCCCCCGCCGCCGGUGCGCGGCUGCGAGGAACAAAGGGAGCGGAGGACUCACCCAGCAGCGGAGUCGGGCUGCGCUGGCCGCCGGAGAGCGCGGCCCGCCCACCGGGUCACAUGGCUCCGAGCCGAGCAGAGGAUCAAAGGGGCUUUGUGGCCGCGGAACAAGGAGCCUCCCAGAGCGCGGGCAGAGGUGGUUUCCUAGGACAGGGAAUAAGGCAGGCCCGGCCCCAAGAACCAUUGCCAGAUGCCCGCCAGGAGGGACUCCGGUCACACCGGGUGUCACGGUUCACCUGGAGCCUUGCAGAUGACACCUCCACUCCACACCUGUCCUGUGGGCAAGGGCCUGCCUUCCCCGCACUCCCCUUGGAACCUCCUUCCCCGCCGCUCACCUGGCUGUGUCCCCCAGGGCCCAUCACCCCUUCCUGGGUGCCAGGUGGGCAAACCGCCAGCUCGCCAAGGCCACUCCUUGCCCUGCCUCCUCCUCUCCCUCCUCCCCCCUGCAGAGCCCUGGCCCAGGAGGUGGCCUGGGUGCUUUCUACACGUUCCCUCACUCAUGGCCCACGGGAUGGAGGGGGGUCUCCAGAGCACAGGAGAGGGAAUCCCUGCACCUGACAAGACCCUGCAGCCCAGAGGUGCUUUUCCAACCCAGAAGCCCCGCCCUCCGGACCCGCUCAGGGUCUCUGGGCUCAGCACACACAGCAGAGAGAACAGCCUGAGGCCUGCCCAGCCGCCCACCGCAUCUCCUGGCAGAAACAGAAGGCAAGGCACGCGUACACACACCACAUCUGUCACUGGCUGCUGUGGCCAGUGGCUACUGUACUGGGUGGCAACUCUCUCAAUAGUCUCGGUUCUACCCUGGAGUUAAGCCAGAUCCUUGGAGAGCUGUUUAGACCGUAUUAUUUUCGCCCUACACUUCAUUUUCAGCAGUGGAAAUGCAACUUCACUUGGGGGUGCUACAGGAUACAGCUUGAUGGAACCCACAGCAGGUGAUCACAGCGUCCCCCUCCUGGGGAUAUUUCUCCCAUAUUCUACUAUCAGAAAGAGCAGAACUUCUCCCAAGAAGUUACUUCACUAGAUUUGUGCUAAGCACCAGUCAGAAGACGUUCCAAAGACGUCCAUUAGGGCUACCACCCAUUUCUGGGGCUCUCGGUCCCCUAUGUGGUGCACCGCUGCUCAGGCCAGGGUGAACUUCCUGGCUCGAAGGCAGCCAGCCCCAGGCUGACCUGCAACCUGACCUGAGGCCUGGCUCACACAAGUGAUGAGCUGGGCCACUCAGAGGGUCCAAGAGCUUGAGGUCAUGUAGACUUCAGGGCUGGGAGCUAUCCGGGGCCAUCUGCAAAGGGAAAGAGGAGAGAAUGGGAGGGGGGGCGGGGAGCAGAGGAGGAGACUCCAGGAGAGAGAAAGGGAGUGGAGAGGGGGGCCCCACUGGGCUCCUGCAAACCCUGCCCCUUCUGAGCCGGGCCUUCCACACUCCGACUUCCUCGCACGUUAUGUCCUUCCAAUAACCGACCCGUCCUGUUUACUGACUUCAAAGUCACACACAGCCACACUGAUUAGGGAAAAAUCUAUAGAAACAGAAAGCGGAUUGGUGGUUGCGAAGACAGGGGUGGAAGGGUCAAGGGGGGAGGGUGUGGGAACUGACCACUUAAUAGACACGGGGCUUCCUUUUGAGGGGACGAGAAUGUUCUGGAGCUUGAUCUUGGUGAUGCUGCACAACGCAAUGAAUGUGCUCAGUGUUAUUAAGGGCAAAUUUCAUGUUCUGGUAUCUGAUACCAUAAAACAUAUAUUUAAAGGAAAAA